rnacentral:rRNA from 1 species
GAUGAACGCUAGCUACAGGCUUAACACAUGCAAGUCGAGGGGCAGCAAGAAUCACUUCGGUGAUUUGUUGGCGACCGGCGCACGGGUGAGUAACACGUAUCCAACCUGGCUUAUACUCAGGGAUAGCCUUUCGAAAGAAAGAUUAAUACUUGAUAGCAUAAAUUGACCGCAUGGUUGAUUUAUUAAAGAUUUAUUGGUAUGAGAUGGGGAUGCGUUCCAUUAGCUUGUUGGUAAGGUAACGGCUUACCAAGGCAUCGAUGGAUAGGGGUUCUGAGAGGAAGGUCACCCACACUGGUACUGAGACACGGACCAGACUCCUACGGGAGGCAGCAGUGAGGAUUAUUGGUCAAUGGACGAGAGUCUGAACCAGCCAAGUCGCGUGAAGGAUGACUGCCCUAUGGGUUGUAAACUUCUUUUAUGUGGGAAUAAAAAAGGGAACGUGUUCCCUAUUGCAUGUACCACUAUGAAUAAGCAUCGGCUAACUCCGUGCCAGCAGCCGCCGUAAGAC